UACCUGGUUGAUCCUGCCAGUAUUCAUAUGCUUGUCUCAAAGAUUAAGCCAUGCAUGUGUAAGUAUGAACGAAUUCAGACUGUGAAACUGCGAAUGGCUCAUUAAAUCAGUUAUAGUUUGUUUGAUGGUAAGUACUACUCAGAUAGCCGUAGUAAUUCUAGAGCUAAUACGUGCAACAAACCCCGACUUCUGGAAGGGAUGCAUUUAUUAGAUAAAAGGUCGACGCGGGCUCUGCCCGUUGCUCUGAUAAUGCAUGAUAACUUGACAGAUCGCAUGGCCUUAGUGAUGGCGACGCAUCAUUCAAAUUUCUGCCCUAUCAACUUUCGAUGGUAGGACAGUGGCCUACCAUGGUGGUAACGGGUGACGGAGAAUUAGGGUUCGAUUCCGGAGACGGAGACUGAGAAACGGCUACCACAUCCAAGGAAGGCAGCAGGCGCGCAAAUUACCCAAUCCUGACACUGGGAGGUAGUGACAAUAAAUAACAAUACCGGGCUCUUUGAGUCUGGUAAUUAGAAUGAGUGCAAUCUAAAUCCCUUAACGAGGAUCCAUUGGAGGGAAAUUCUGGUGCCAGAAGCCGCGGUAAUUCCAGCUCCAAUAGCGUAUAUUUAAGUUGUUGAAGUUAAAAAGCUUGUAGUUGAACCUUGGGAUGGGUCGCCCGGUCCGCCUUUGGUGAGCACCGGUCGGCUUGUCUCUUCUGUCGGCGAUAUGCUCCUGGACUUAACUGGCCGGGCCGUGCCUCCAGUGCUGUUACUUUGAAGAAAUUAGAGUGCUCAAAGCAAGCCUACGCUCUGUAUACAUUAGCAUGGGAUAACAUCAUAGGAUUUCGAUCCUAUUGUGUUGGCCUUCGGGAUCAGAGUAUUGAUUAACAGGGACAGUCGGUGUAACACCCCCGAACCGUCCUAGGCAUAGGUCGACCCACCGGCCACAAUCAAACAAGAACAUGACCGACGGAUGACCCACACCAAGGGUUGGAGAUGAAAGGCCAACCGGCCAGCCAACAAUCAAACAAGAACAUGACUGACCGUCCAACCCAACACCAUGGUCCGGAAGCGCUACGUGACGGGUUAGGGAUGAUCCAGUCAGAGUAACAAACUUUACUCCACGACCUAGACCAGUUCAUCCGCUAACUCGUCCCGCUGCGUCAAGGCAUAAGGCUUUGCAACCCGUACCUAGAGUUAGCGUUUU
rfam:Brassica napus, WGS project CCCW01000000 data, contig: 41528